rnacentral:rRNA from 1 species
GAUGAACGCUGGCGGCGUGCCUAAUACAUGCAAGUCGAGCGAACAGACGAGGAGCUUGCUCCUCUGACGUUAGCGGCGGACGGGUGAGUAACACGUGGAUAACCUACCUAUAAUACUGGGAUAACUUCGGGAAACCGGAGCUAAUACCGGAUAAUAUAUUGAACCGCAUGGUUCAAUAGUGAAAGACGGUUUUGCUGUCACUUAUAGAUGGAUCCGCGCCGCAUUAGCUAGUUGGUAAGGUAACGGCUUACCAAGGCAACGAUGCGUAGCCGACCUGAGAGGGUGAUCGGCCACACUGGAAGUGAGACACGGUCCAGACUCCUACGGGAGGCAGCAGUAGGGAAUCUUCCGCAAUGGGCGAAAGCCUGACGGAGCAACGCCGCGUGAGUGAUGACGGUCUUCGGAUCGUAAAACUCUGUUAUUAGGGAAGAACAAAUGUGUAAGUAACUAUGCACGUCUUGACGGUACCUAAUCAGAAAGCCACGGCUAACUACGUG